rnacentral:rRNA from 1 species
UACGUAGGGUGCAAGCGUUGUCCGGAAUUAUUGGGCGUAAAGAGCUUGUAGGCGGUUUGUCGCGUCUGCUGUGAAAUUUCGGGGCUCAACCCCGAACUUGCAGUGGGUACGGGCAGACUAGAGGUAUGCAGGGGAGAACGGAAUUCCUGGUGUAGCGGUGAAAUGCGCAGAUAUCAGGAGGAACACCAGUGGCGAAGGCGGUUCUCUGGGACGGUACUGACGCUGAGACGCGAAAGCGUGGGGAGCGAACAGG